AUUGAACGCUGGCGGCAGGCCUAACACAUGCAAGUCGAGCGGAUGAAGGGAGCUUGCUCCUGGAUUCAGCGGCGGACGGGUGAGUAAUGCCUAGGAAUCUGCCUGGGAGUGGGGGAUAACGUCCGGAAACGGGCGCGAAUACCGCAUACGUCCUGAGGGGGAAAGUGGGGGAUCUUCGGACCUCACGCUAUCGGAUGAGCCUAGGUCGGAUUAGCUAGUUGGUGGGGUAACGGCCUACCAAGGCGACGAUCCGUAACUGGUCUGAGAGGAUGAUCAGUCACACUGGAACUGAGACACGGUCCAGACUCCUACGGGAGGCAGCAGUGGGGAAUAUUGGACAAUGGGCGCAAGCCUGAUCCAGCCAUGCCGCGUGUGUGAAGAAGGUCUUCGGAUUGUAAAGCACUUUAAGUUGGGAGGAAGGGCAGUAAGUUAAUACCUUGCUGUUUUGACGUUACCAACAGAAUAAGCACCGGCUAACUUCGUG
rnacentral:rRNA from 1 species